rnacentral:rRNA from 1 species
GACGAACGCUGGCGGCGUGCCUAAUACAUGCAAGUCGAACGCAGUGGGGACGGGUGAGUAACAGGUGGUAAACCUCCCAUCGAGGGGGAUAACACUUGGAAACAGGUGCUAAACCGAUACGGAGGGAGGGACCCGCGGUGCAUUAGCUAGUUGGUGGGGUAACGGCUCACCAAGGCCACGAGUCAUAGCCGACCUGGGAUGGUGAUCGGCCACACUGGGACUGAGACACGGCCCAGACUCCUACGGGAGGCAGCAGUAGGGAAUCUUCGGCAAUGGACGAAAGUCUGACCGAGCAACGCCGCGUGAGUGAAGAAGGUUUUCGGAUCGUAAAACUCUGUUGUUAGAGAAGCGGUAUCUAACCAGAAAGCCACGGCUAACUACGUGCCAGCAGCCGCGGUAAUUC